GCUCCAAGAGCGUAUAUUAAAGUUGUUGCAGUUAAAAAGCUCGUAGUUGGAUUUCUGGUGUAAUGCGCCUGGCCGUGGCCGUCAGGCUUAUGUGUGCCGGUGCGCGUUCACCAUCCUUCUAGUAAACGUGUCUACCUCACUGGGACGGAUGCGCGAACUAGAUCUUUUACUUUGAAAAAAUUAGAGUGUUUAAAGCAGGC
rnacentral:rRNA from 1 species